GAUGAACGCUGGCGGCGUGCCUAAUACAUGCAAGUCGAGCGAACGGACGAGAAGCUUGCUUUUCUGAUGUUAGCGGCGGACGGGUGAGUAACACGUGGAUAACCUACCUAUAAGACUGGGAUAACUUCGGGAAACCGGAGCUAAUACCGGAUAAUAUUUUGAACCGCAUGGUUCAAUAGUGAAAGACGGUUUUGCUGUCACUUAUAGAUGGAUCCGCGCUGCAUUAGCUAGUUGGUAAGGUAACGGCUUACCAAGGCAACGAUGCAUAGCCGACCUGAGAGGGUGAUCGGCCACACUGGAACUGAGACACGGUCCAGACUCCUACGGGAGGCAGCAGUAGGGAAUCUUCCGCAAAGGGCGAAAGCCUGACGGAGCAACGCCGCGUGAGUGAUGAAGGUCUUCGGAUCGUAAAACUCUGUUAUUAGGGAAGAACAUAUGUGUAAGUAACUGUGCACAUCUUGACGGUACCUAAUCAGAAAGCCACGGCUAACUACGUG
rnacentral:rRNA from 1 species